GAUGAACGCUGGCGGCGUGCCUAAUACAUGCAAGUCGAGCGAACGGACGAGAAGCUUGCUUCUCUGAUGUUAGCGGCGGACGGGUGAGUAACACGUGGAUAACCUACCUAUAAGACUGGGAUAACUUCGGGAAACCGGAGCUAAUACCGGAUGAUAUUUUGAACCGCAUGGGUCAAAAGUGAAAGACGGUCUUGCUGUCACUUAUAGAUGGAUCCGCGCUGCAUUAGCUAGUUGGUAAGGUAACGGCUUACCAAGGCAACGAUGCAUAGCCGACCUGAGAGGCUGGUCGGCCACACUGGAACUGAGACACGGUCCAGACUCCUACGGGAGGCAGCAGUAGGGAAUCUUCCGCAAUGGGCGAAAGCCUGACGGAGCAACGCCGCGUGAGUGAUGAAGGUCUUCGGAUCGUAAAGCUCUGUUAUUAGGGAAGAACAUAUGUGUAAGUAACUGUGCACAUCUUGACGGUACCUAAUCAGAAAGCCACGGCUAACUACGUG
rnacentral:rRNA from 1 species